rnacentral:rRNA from 1 species
UACGGAGGAUUCAAGCGUUAUCCGGAUUUAUUGGGUUUAAAGGGUGCGUAGGCGGUCGGAUAAGUUAGAGGUGAAAUCCCGGGGCUCAACUUCGGAAUUGCCUCUGAUACUGUUCGGCUAGAGAGUAGUUGCGGCAGGCGGAAUGUAUGGUGUAGCGGUGAAAUGCUUAGAGAUCAUACAGAACACGGAUUGCGAAGGCAGCUUACCGAGCUACUUCUGACGUUGAGGCACGAAAGCGUGGGGAGCAAACAGG